rnacentral:rRNA from 1 species
UUAAGCGACUAAGCGUACACGGUGGAUGCCCUGGCAGUCAGAGGCGAUGAAGGACGUGCUAAUCUGCGAUAAGCGUCGGUAAGGUGAUAUGAACCGUUAUAACCGGCGAUUUCCGAAUGGGGAAACCCAGUGCAAUUCGUUGCACUAUCAUUACGUGAAUACAUAGCGUAAUGAAGCGAACCGGGGGAACUGAAACAUCUAAGUACCCCGAGGAAAAGAAAUCAACCGAGAUUCCCCCAGUAGCGGCGAGCGAACGGGGAGCAGCCCAGAGUCUGAAUCAGCUUGUGUGUUAGUGGAACGGUCUGGAAAGUCCGACGGUACAGGGUGAUAGUCCCGUACACCAAAACACACAGGUUGUGAACUCGAAGAGUAGGGCGGGGACACGUGGUAUCCUGUCUGAAUAUGGGGGGACCAUCCUCCAAGGCUAAAUACUCCUGACUGACCGAUAGUGAACCAGUACCGUGAGGGAAAGGCGAAAAGAACCCCGGCGAGGGGAGUGAAAAAGAACCUGAAACCGUGUACGUACAAGCAGUGGGAGCCUCUUUAUGGGGUGACUGCGUACCUUUUGUAUAAUGGGUCAGCGACUUAUAUUCUGUAGCAAGGUUAACCGAAUAGGGGAGCCGAAGGGAAACCGAGUCUUAACUGGGCCGUUAAGUUGCAGGGUAUAGACCCGAAACCCGGUGAUCUAGCCAUGGGCAGGUUGAAGGUUGGGUAACACUAACUGGAGGACCGAACCGACUAAUGUUGAAAAAUUAGCGGAUGACUUGUGGCUGGGGGUGAAAGGCCAAUCAAACCGGGAGAUAGCUGGUUCUCCCCGAAAGCUAUUUAGGUAGCGCCUCGUGAACUCAUCUUCGGGGGUAGAGCACUGUUUCGGCUAGGGGGUCAUCCCGACUUACCAACCCGAUGCAAACUGCGAAUACCGAAGAAUGUUAUCACGGGAGACACACGGCGGGUGCUAACGUCCGUCGUGAAGAGGGAAACAACCCAGACCGCCAGCUAAGGUCCCAAAGUCAUGGUUAAGUGGGAAACGAUGUGGGAAGGCACAGACAGCCAGGAUGUUGGCUUAGAAGCAGCCAUCAUUUAAAGAAAGCGUAAUAGCUCACUGGUCGAGUCGGCCUGCGCGGAAGAUGUAACGGGGCUAAACCAUGCACCGAAGCUGCGGCAGCGACACUAUGUGUUGUUGGGUAGGGGAGCGUUCUGUAAGCCGUUGAAGGUGGCCUGUGAGGGUUGCUGGAGGUAUCAGAAGUGCGAAUGCUGACAUAAGUAACGAUAAUGCGGGUGAAAAACCCGCACGCCGGAAAGACCAAGGGUUCCUGUCCAACGUUAAUCGGGGCAGGGUGAGUCGACCCCUAAGGCGAGGCCGAAAGGCGUAGUCGAUGGGAAACAGGUUAAUAUUCCUGUACUUGGUGUUACUGCGAAGGGGGACGGAGAAGGCUAUGUUGGCCGGGCGACCGGUUGUCCCGGUUUAAGCGUGUAGGUGUGUGUUCCAGGUAAAUCCGGAAUGCUUUAACACUGAGGCGUGAUGACGAGGCACCACGGUGCUGAAGUGACAAAUGCCCUGCUUCCAGGAAAAGCCUCUAAGCAUCAGGUAACACGAAAUCGUACCCCAAACCGACACAGGUGGUCAGGUAGAGAAUACCAAGGCGCUUGAGAGAACUCGGGUGAAGGAACUAGGCAAAAUGGUGCCGUAACUUCGGGAGAAGGCACGCCUGAUAUGUAGGUGAAGUGAUUUACUCCAUGGAGCUGAAAUCAGUCGAAGAUACCAGCUGGCUGCAACUGUUUAUUAAAAACACAGCACUGUGCAAACACGAAAGUGGACGUAUACGGUGUGACGCCUGCCCGGUGCCGGAAGGUUAAUUGAUGGGGUUAUCCGUAAGGAGAAGCUCUUGAUCGAAGCCCCGGUAAACGGCGGCCGUAACUAUAACGGUCCUAAAGGUAGCGAAAUUCCUUGUCGGGUAAGUUCCGACCUGCACGAAUGGCGUAAUGAUGGCCAGGCUGUCUCCACCCGAGACUCAGUGAAAUUGAACUCGCUGUGAAGAUGCAGUGUACCCGCGGCAAGACGGAAAGACCCCGUGAACCUUUACUAUAGCUUGACACUGAACACUGGUCCUUGAUGUGUAGGAUAGGUGGGGAGGCUUUGAAGUGUGGACGCCAGUCUGCCAUGGAGCCGACCUUGAAAUACCACCCUUUAAUGGCUGGUGUUCUAACGUGGGCCCGUGAUCCGGGUUGCGGACAGUGUCUGGUGGGUAGUUUGACUGGGGCGGUCUCCUCCCCAAAGAGUAACGGAGGAGCACGAAGGUUAGCUAAUCCUGGUCGGACAUCAGGAGGUUAGUGCAAAGGCAUAAGCUAGCUUUGACUGCGAGAGUGACGGCUCGAGCAGGUGCGAAAGCAGGUCUUAGUGAUCCGGUGGUUCUGAAUGGAAGGGCCAUCCGCUCAACGGAUAAAAGGUACUCCGGGGAUAACAGGCUGAUACCGCCCAAGAGUUCAUAUCGACGGCGGUGUUUGGCACCUCGAUGUCGGCUCAUCACAUCCUGGGGCUGAAGUAGGUCCCAAGGGUAUGGCUGUUCGCCAUUUAAAGUGGUACGCGAGCUGGGUUUAGAACGUCGUGAGACAGUUCGGUCCCUAUCUGCCGUGGGCGCUGGAGAAUUGAGGGGGGCUGCUCCUAGUACGAGAGGACCGGGAGUGGACGCAUCACUGGUGUUCGGGUUGUCAUGCCAAUGGCACUGCCGGUAGCUAAAUGCGGGAAGAGAUAAGUGCUGAAAGCAUCUAAGCACGAAACUUGCCCCGAGAUGAGUUCUCCCUGACCCUUUAAGGGUCCUGAAGGAACGUUGAAGACGACGACGUUGAUAGGCCGGGUGUGUAAGGCGCAGCGAUGCGUUGAGCUAACCGGUACUAAUGAACCGUGAGGCUUAACCUU